rnacentral:lncRNA from 1 species
CUCUUGUUUCGCCAUCAAUUCUUUAGUUAACUUCGUAAACAAUCUUUUCCAAUAUUUUCUCUUCUUUCUCGAUCUCUUGUCCUGAUGAUGAUGAUCUUCUUCCUCAUCAGAUGCAGUAGAUGAAGAAGUUGAGCUCGAGAAAAGGUUCAGCGAUGAGACAUUGUUUAUCAAGUCAUUUGAAGUUGGUCUAAAACCAGUAUCAAUAGUAGUUGCAUGGUUGUUGCUAUAUAUAGGGAAAGGUGUUGUAGGAGACGGUUGCUUGGCUUGGAAGGUAGGUUUUGUGGCGAUUGGUUUCACACUAACCUGAUGAUGGUUCAACGGUAUCAAAGAAGUGGUUGUUGUCACGGUCGUGGUGGCUGUAGAAGAUUUUAAGGGUUGUGACUCGGGUUCGGGUGGAUAGGAAUUGAGAGCCUCCAAAGCUUGUAACUCUUCGAAAAACCGGUAAGUUUUGCCUUCGGAUUUUCCGGUACGACCUUCUUUGGUACGUUUGUGGUACUUGUACACGUUCUCGAACUUCUCCUUGCAUUUCUUUGCACUUCUUUUGUAACCAAACUCCAUCAUUUUCCUAAUUAUUUAUCAAACAAUAAACACCGUAAGAAACAUCACAAAAAUAUAUUUUUCCUAGAUAGUUAAAUGUAAAUUUAUAAUUAUACUUUUAGAUACAUAUAAACAUAUAGGAAUUUUCAAAUGAAAAUACCGAAAAUAUGAUAAUAUAGAUAUAUCCAAAAAUGUUUAGGUAUAUAAACGAUCAUAAAAUUUCUGUUUAUGUUUUUUCAGUAUGAAAUAUUAAUGCAUCAUGUAUCUAGUUUAUUACAUAUUUAAAUGUAAAUUUGCGAUUAGAUUUAUCUAGUUUUUUACAUAAUUAAAUGUAGUUUGUAAGUAGAUUUUAAGAUAUAUACAAACAUAUAACUAGCUGUAUAGGAUCAUUCAAAUAAAAUUAUUGAAAGUAUGACAAUAUAGGCAUGUGCAAAAUGUGUAAACGUAUAUACAACAAGAUCGUAAAAUUUCAUUUCAUUUUCCAGUAUGAAUAUAUAUGCAUGUAUCAGAAUAUAUAUAACAAAAAAACCUGGAGAUUUCUUCCCACAAGGGAGCUUUGAGAGUGGAGUCACGAAAGGCUUUAUCCAUUUCCGAACGUAUUCUCAAGAGAGCUAGAGUUUCCGGUCUUGGCCACCGGUUUCCUCCUCCUCCGCCUACUUCUCCGAUUUCCUCCAUUUUCAUAUCUUUCUCAUCCUCGCCUGAACCGCCCAUGUCGCCACUGCCGGAGCUAUCUAACAGUCCUGAAGAGUUUCCAGACACACUAAAGAUUCGAAUCCGGAUGUCUCAGAGAGAGUUUAUGAGAGUUUGACGAGAAGAGAAGGUUGUGGUUGAAUUUUCUGUUUUUUUCGUCUAUCGUGAUUUUAUCUUUUUAAUUGGGUGGGAUGGACCAUAUAUCAAGAUCUUAUAAAUAUAAUACAUUUUUGUACGUGAUAUAUUUUGCAUAAUUAGUUUUUCUCUAUAUCACAAAAGGAGGAGUGGGACUUUAAAGGGAAACCUUUUCACUUUCUUUCUGUCUUUUUAAAUUUGGGAAUCUUCUCAUUGCUUAUAAGAAAAUUUUGGUAGCUAAAAAUAAUUUCAUAUAAAUUAAAGUUUUAUGUAUAUUUUAUCUCAGUAGGUGUAACAUCUGAUUAGUGAUUGGUUUAUCAGCUUUUUAGGCAAUGAAAUUCCAGAAACUUGCCAUCGGUUGUGGUACCAAAACUGGUUAAAAAUCAAAACCCUAAUUAGACUGAAUAAUUUGAUAUCAAUAAUGAACUGCUAGAACUGAAUUCUAUAAACUCUAAAAUUACGUUCCGAUACAAGAUACAAUUGCUCAUUCAUUAUCGUCAAUCCAUAUACUUUUACAUAUAACUAGGAGCAUUGCCUCCGCGCUUGCGCGGAAUUGCGAACGGAAUUCUUGUUUCAUCUCAAUAUUUGUUAGGAUUAUUGUAUCUGUGAAUUUUGGGUUUUGGAUUUUGGGUUGAUCAUUGUUUUUCAAAUUUUUUAUUGUUAUAGGGUUAGAGUUGUGAUGAUGAACUGUGUAUGCAUUGUUCUCCACUCAUGAAAGACUAAACUGUGUUAGUAAUGUGAUUUAUAUAGUUCGUGAUGUUGCUUUUUGUGUCACUGAAACUUAUUGUUUGUUUGUCUUUUUAAUUUGUUACUUGUACUGUUGAGCUUACAUAAAUUAUAUUAAGGUUGUUGAGAGUACUUUUUGUUUCUGGAUAUUUUUUCUCCAGUUUAGUUGUGUAAGUUGUGUGUAUUAAGUAAUAAUUUUUUUAAUUCUUAUUAUGUUGGUUGUAUGUUUUUUAUUUUAUUUUUAAACUUGUUGCUUUUACCCGACCUUUAAAACAAAUAAAUGAAGACUUGUACAAAUAACUAUAAAAUGAGUGACAAUUAGUAUUUGAGCCUUAAAGAGUUUUAAAUGAAUAUAUGUAUUUCUUAUAAGAAGACAAUAACAUUGGUCUGUUGACAUUGAGCAUGUAAGCUAUUUUCAUAAGACAAGAGGAGUGAGCAAGUGGAGAUGUUGUUGCUGCCUUUGUAUCUGUUGGGAUUGUCUCUUGUAUCUCCUGGUGUGUCUGUGUUUGUUUCUCUUUUAUUUUAUGGGGUAAUAUGUAAACAAAAAUCAUUAGUAGUUGUAUUUAUCAGAGUUUGUAACUUGCUCUGCUUUUUUGUUUAGGUAAUUUUAUUGAUCUUGGUUGUCGUCUUCGUCUUCUUCGUAAGCAUCUGCAAAAGUAAGUUUAUAAAUUGUUAAAUAGCUGGUCGUGUAGUUUGUAUUUGUUUAGCUGGCUCAAUGUAUGUGUCCUUGAGUUUUAGUUGAGUUGAUUGGUUUGGUAUAUAUUUGUUUCGAAGUUUAUUUGUAAGAUUAGACAAAAAGAGAGGUGAUCAUUCAUGAUUCGUCUUUUUUGGGAUACUAGUUUUUGGUGUUUUGAUUGUUUGGGUUAUUGUGGUCUUUUUUAAGCUGUAAAAUAAAGAUUUGUGUAAAAUUAGAUUGAUAAGUAAAGAAGAUAAAUAGACGACCACAAAUCUUGGGUAGGAAAUAUUUUUGAUUAUUGAUAUUAGCACAAAGACAGUAAUAUAAAGGGGAUCAUGUGUUGAUUGUUUCAUACGUUAAUGUUUUUUGUUCUAAAAAGAUAAGUAUGUAUUUAUCUUUUUAAUAUGGGUUAAAAAAAUUAGAGACCAAUUUUAAAAAUAUAUAUGUAGUAUUUUCAAAUACAAGAUAAAAAUUAAACUAUAUGUAAAUAAUAAACUUAUUUAAAUUUAGUCUAAUUAUUAGAAUCCAAAUAAAAUUGCAGCUCAUUUCAAUGAAAUUUUUAGAAUCCAAUAUACUAAAUGAGAAAUUUAUGCACCUUAUGAACUUCAAAUAUACUAUUUUGUGUAAUUUUCUUUAUUCGUUAUUUUCCUUUUUGUUCUUUUUUGAAUAUAUCAUUUGAGUGGGAAAUAUUAUUAACUGAAUUCACAUGUCUACUGAAAUGUUACAAGGACAAUGUAGUCUUUUCAUUAAAAGAAAAAAAAUUAUACUGUACAAAUUCGAAUAUGAUGUGUUUUUGUUUGGUCCACCUCGUGGUGCGUAGGCACAAAUUACAGAAAGAAACGCACAAAUGCCAUCCACCACACGGACGGUACUUAUGAUUAGAUUAUUUUAGGUAAAUUUAUAAUGGGAAUAUGAAUACGAACAUUUCACAAUUUGCAAUAAUAUUCGAAGGAAAAAAAAAUGAUGAAAGCGACGACCCAGUAUCAAUUCGUAGGUCCAAUUUUUUACUAGGUGUGUCGGUACCCAUGGAUAUAGAUGGAUGCUUGAUUAACCAUUGGCUUCUCCCCACCAAUUGAGCUAAUUUUUAAUUCAAAUUUCAUCGGUUGAUCCCAUUGAACCUUGUGGUUCUAUAAUUAGAUAUACGCAUAGUAAUAUAUAUAUCUAGAAAUUUAAUUAUUUUAUAAAACACCACGAAAAGGAACUCUAAAAAUCAAAUCCAUUUACUUACAUUUGUUGUAUAUGUUCUUUUUCACCCCAUUGCGUAGUUUAAUAGAUAAGUUUAUAUAGAGGAAUACAAAAAACAUUUAGGUGAAAAUAUUAUUGUUAAUGUCCAUAGGUGAUGAUUUGUUCAACACAAUCUCGAACUCACUUGUCUCAUUGUCUCCUUCUUCAUCUUCAUUUUCGUAAUCAUCUUCUUCACUCUCUCCUUCUUCAGCUUUGUCCCCCUGAUCAGUUUUAAGCUCAGUCUGCGUUUCUUGUGGGAGAAGCUGCGGAGUCAACAUUAAAGGUAAUAUUGACAAUGCCCCACUUUUGUUCCUUUCAUUGUACAAAGCUUCGAGCUGGUUAAAAUAAGGGCACGUCUUAGAAUCAAAAGGUCGUUUCUUGUUGCUCUCUUUGACUUUCUUGAAGUACUUGUUUAUGUUUUCCCACUUCUCUUUGCAUCUUUUAGCGCUUCUAUUGUAUCCCAAUCUUCUCAUCCCUCCAGAGAUCUCUUCCCAUAAUGGCCCUCUAGUACCAUUUUCUUGAUAGUUAGCUUCAAGAUUUUUCCUUAUCCGUAUUAAGACCUCGACCUCGGUUUUAGGCCAUCUUGAAGAACUAGGAGAUAGUGAAUGGUUGCUAUCGAAUAGAACCGGCCUUGGCUCUUUACUCUCAAAUGUUAUUGAAUGUUCACUGUGAUAUUGUUUCCUUUGUGGUACUUUAUGUUUCUGUCGUGGUUGUUGUUGUUGUCCUCCUGAGAUUUUGUGUAAGAAGGAUAUGAUUGCAGCGUCUUUAGCCACGGCAUUAGACCUCUCAUGGACUAGUGUUUUGUGUUCUCUAUUGAUUCUCGCUACCUCUUGGACCCUCCAAGCUUCUUCUCUUGAGAUUCUCUCUCUUUCUUGAUUCUCAAAAAUUUCCAAGAACCUCUUUUGCACCUUCUCUUGUUUCUCCAUCAAUUCUUUAGUUAACUUCGUAAACAAUCUUUUCCAAUAUUUUCUCUUCUUUCUCGAUCUCUUGUCCUGAUGAUGAUGAUCUUCUUCCUCAUCAGAUGCAGUAGAUGAAGAAGUUGAGCUCGAGAAAAGGUUCAGCGAUGAGACAUUGUUUAUCAAGUCAUUUGAAGUUGGUCUAAAACCAGUAUCAAUAGUAGUUGCAUGGUUGUUGCUAUAUAUAGGGAAAGGUGUUGUAGGAGACGGUUGCUUGGCUUGGAAGGUAGGUUUUGUGGCGAUUGGUUUCACACUAACCUGAUGAUGGUUCAACGGUAUCAAAGAAGUGGUUGUUGUCACGGUCGUGGUGGCUGUAGAAGAUUUUAAGGGUUGUGACUCGGGUUCGGGUGGAUAGGAAUUGAGAGCCUCCA